GACGAACGCUGGCGGCGUGCUUAACACAUGCAAGUCGAACGGAAAGGCCCUGCUUGCAGGGUACUCGAGUGGCGAACGGGUGAGUAACUCGUGGGUGAUCUGCCCUGCACUUAGGGAUAAGCAUGGGCAACUGGGUCUAAUACCGGAUAGGAGCCAUUUCUAGCGUGAUGGUUGGAAAGUUUUUUCGGUGUAGGAUGAGCUCGCGGCCUAUCAGCUUGUUGGUGGGGUAAUGGCCUACCAAGGCGGCGGCGUGUAGCCGGCCUGUGAGGGUGGACGGCGACAUUGGGACUGAGAGACGGCCCAGACACCGACGGGAGGCAGCAGUGGGGAAUACUGCACAAUGGGCGCAAGCCUGAUGCAGCGGCGCCUCGUGUGGUAUGACGGUCUUCUGGUUGUAGACUCCGUUCGCGAGGGACGAAGCUUUUUGUGACGGUACCUAGAUAAGAAGCACCGGCUAACUACGUG
rnacentral:rRNA from 1 species